CAAGGCAGUUAUUAUUAUCAGUUCAUAGGUGAAGAAACUGAGGUUCAGAAUCUUCCCCAAAUAACAAAAUUAGUAAAGGGUCUACCUGUGAUUUGAAAUCAGAUCUAGUUGAAUUAAAAACUCAGACUUUUCCUUCAUUUAUAACAAAAAGUGCCAACGAAGAAAAAUCUCUCACACAAAUCUUGGAAGGGAAACAUUCAGCAACAUAACUGCCUAUGGUCCCACUUACAGUUUUCACCACAAAUGCGGAAAUGUUCUUUUUUCUUCUUCUUCUCGUGGUCAUGUUUUAUAGCACUUAACAACAGUUGCAGUUGAUAAGUUAAGCCAAGGUCUCAGGACAGGGUCUUGCUCAAGGUGUCGGAAUCCCACUAAUGCUGUGUUCCAGCUACGAUUUUAAUCAAAGAAUUCUAUUCAGGACACCACAUUACAUUUAAUUGUGAUGUUUCCUUAGGCUUCUUUGGCUAUGACAGUUUCUCAAACUAAACUUUUUUUGAUGACCGUGACAACUUUGUGGAGAAUUGAUGAGCAAGAAGGCCCGUGCUAGAUGCUGGCACUUUGAUGUUGGACUUCCCAGCAUCCAGAACUCUGCAAGGUCACAAGACAGAUAAGCAUAAGCUGCAAACCAAGUUCUCACAGAGAUGUAAGACAUGUUCCAAAAGUGUCACAGCGGCCUUUUGUUCUCACUUCUGUAAGCCUGCUUCACUUAGUUCCUGCCUCAAAAUGCUUAAAAGGGACUCAUUUUCUUUGUUCUUGGGCUCAGCCUUUUAGGACACAAGUCCGCUGGGCCAGUGUACACCUUAAAAUAAACACCCUCCUGCACGCCAUCUGGUCUCUCUGGUUCCUUAAAUCCCACUUCAUGACAAGUUCAGUUUCUCAGAAAGAAACAUUUAAUAGGGACUUACAAAUAGAAGCCAUGUCUCAGGCAGCCACAAGACAGUGGAUCUCCGCACAGGCCCUGCAGAAAGUAUUCUUUAUAUGGCAAGCUUCCCCACCCCCCACCCUGUGAGAUGGAAUCUUGCUCUGUCACUCAGGCUGGAAUGCAGUGGCGCGAUGUCGGCUCACUGCAACCUCUGCCUCCCAGGUUAAGUGUUGACAGAUGCCAAAGGUAGUCUUUCAGUGGCUGUCAGGAAGGGUUGCCAAGAGUGGAGUGGACUCACAGGCUAAGAACACUGGGAGCCUGUGAGAGCCCACCAGCAAGCUCUGGGAGAGAGCUACCGCUCCACAGCACUUACUGAGGAGGGGAGCUUUCUUCCUGAGUUAGAGCAAUGGCUUCCUGAGUUAGAACAAUGGCUUGGAAGUCAGGAAACCUAGGGUGUAGUCCCGGCUGUGCCACUAACUAGCAACAAGCCAUGUGCAAGUCACCGGAAAGGCAGGGGUCACAUUUGGUCAGGGAUGGCAAAUGUGUGGCACACACACCCUUCCCCCUCUCGUGCCUUCGAUAGAGGCUGUUGUUCAACCACACCACUGUCCAGAAUUUUUUGCUACAGCAUUUUGGGUAGGCACUUCCUUUUUUUUUUU
rnacentral:lncRNA from 1 species